CCCUUACCCCCGCCAGCCCCGCCCCCAGUCGACCCUCGCCCCCGCAGCAGCCCCCACCCCAGGCCCGCACCAGGCAGGGGGCAGGGCUCCUCCCCGCCGGCUCAGGUCGCGCGUGGACGCCGCCCGCAGAGGGCAGCAGAGGCACGGCGCUGGGCCGCCCGCCCAACGGCGACGCUCGGCGCAGGCGGCACUGGCCCAGCUCAGAAGGGCGGGCUGUCGGCGAGCAGGGGCAGCGGCAGCCGCGGAAGGGACAGGAGUCCGCACAUCCGAGAGCUGCGGCCAGGGCGGCCAGGGCCUGAAUGCAGCUCUGGGAACCGGUGCCGCCCGGCUCCUUCCAGCGGCCUCCUCGCGUCCGGAGCCCAAGCUGACGCCGUGGCCAGAAGCAGCCAGAGGCGGUGCUCGGGGCCCCCACCCGCCAGGGCAGGGGGCCCGGCGAGGCCUGGGAGGCAGACAGGCCGCCAGGUGCAGCAGGCCGGGCGGGGAGAUGCCUCACUCCUCGAGGACUUGCUCGGGGACGGCGGGCAGGGGCUGAGACCCUGCGGCCCCGCGGUCACCGGUUGAGUCCCCUCAUAGGCCUGCUUGGAGACACAGAAUCCGGCGCUCGGGAGAAUGCUCACGAUCGCAUAAGGGCACGCUGGCUCUCCCUGCCCGGGCUGCGUGUCCCUUGUUUUCAGGUGUGCCUUGACUCACUCCUAGACCCGGCUGGCGAAUGCCCACGGUCCCGGAGAACCCUUGGGGGGUUUCUAGACGCGGAUCCCAGCCUUGCUGGAGAGUCGAUCCCCAGAACACCCGACCACCGCCCAACCUCCACCAAUUAGCCAUCUCGGAAACAUCAGUCAGAACACAGCCAAUUUUGCCCAAAGAUACCAAAAGCUGCAACAGCAAACAGAAGCCAAAUGUAGCCCAGAGGACCUCCGUGAGCACUGAUUGAACCAAACGGCUUCCUAGUUUCCGGUCGCUUUCUCUGUGUGCACGAGAAAACGACUUCAGACGUGUGGAAAGAACCCCAUUUGGGCCAUCCGAGACUUCGAUCUUCCCAGAUCGGAGGGAAGCAGGAAAGGCCUUCCGGGGCAGUGAGCAGGAGAGGCUGCCGGACGGAGCGGCAGGAAGCGUCCCCAGAGGUGGAUUACAACACGUCCAACCUUUCCCGGUGACCGCGGGGACACGCAGGAUUUCUCCCACUCUCCUCUCGACACGCUGCACCUCCCGCUGCAAAUGGACACCCCUUUUGCCACCCGUCUGUGGCAGGGAACAGAAUUCCGGGGGCUACGGUCUUGGAGCUUCUCAGAUGGACCGUCCACCUCCUCACCGGCACUCGCGGUGCCAAAGGGAGCCCGCACGGGUGGCCGCCGGCCCUCCAGACACGACGCGGCCACACCGGGUCCCCGAGCAUGGAAGCGAGCCUCAUGCAGGAAUUUUUAAAUCGCACAUGUAGUGCCUACUUCUGCUGAACAACCCUGAGCCAGACAACACGGGAUGAAGACUUCGUUUUCUUAAGAGAAAAGAACUCCUCUCAUCAACUUCCGUGAGAAGCGUUUACCUGAAGUCUCUAUUCUUACGUGUUCCUCUGGAGCUUCCCUGGAGCCGCCAAAUCCGUGCUCGACAGCUGCGUGAGCCAGCUGGCUGCAGACAGCUCCUGGAGUGCUUAAGGAUGAUUUCUUGGCAGCUUUUGGAAAAAAACGCUAAUUGAAAGGUUAAUCAAAUCAGUCAUCCUCGCGUGUUGGUUAAGCAGACGCCCCGUCUCCGCCGCAGACUGAACAGAUGCGGGGCUCUGCGUCCGCGCCUUCACUCUUGAGCACGGAAGCAGUGGGGUGGCAUUCUGAAUCGAAAUCGUGUUCUCGGUUGGGAAACUCUGCUUCCCUUUCAGGAUCUUGCGGGAUCUACGUUGGUAGCGACACUAAUUCCGAUUCUACAGGGGAUUUUUUUGUUUGUUUAUUCUGAGAGGGGGAGAGAGAGAAUCCCAAGCAGCCUCCACACUGUUGGCACAGAGUCCAAGGCGGGGCUUGGAUCCCUGAACCGACGUGAGACGAAGUCAAGUCAGACACUUGACCAACCGGGCCACCCAGGCGCCUCUGCAGGUGUUCCGCCUAAACCAAGUUCAAGAGUUAAACUGUAGAGGCUGUGCGGUUAAAGAAUAAGCCAUCAAGUGGGUCACAACUGUUUCAAGGAAGACGUCUGUUUCUAGGAAGGCAUUUCGGGAAUCGUUAUGGAAGCAAACUCUGAACACGCCAGAUGAGCAGGUAAGGACUGAAUCAGAUUUAAACACGAGUGGCUGAGAAAACGACACGGAUCUGCAAUAUGACAACAUGUCCCCGUCAGGGAGAAGUCAGCACGACCACCUAGAAGGACUUCGCUCCUGGUGCCCUGAACGACGCGGGGCAGAUGAGGAGGGGCGGACGACCAGCCCUCUGACGGAGCCUGCAAUCACAGCUGUGCCCGGACACCCCUGGACGCCAUCCCUGUACCCUGUGCUGCACGCGGGAUCGCACUGCACGGCCAGCACCCGAACCGAACACACGCAUCAGGAUCGGGAAGCGGCGAGGCGGAGGCCUUAUUCCCCCCAACGUCCAAACGCCGAAGCCUUCCUAUUUCCCGGUACAAGGCAAAAGUAUCAAAUGACUCACUGGGACGUGGGAGACGUUUAUGAAUUUAAUGGUGAGUUAUCAAGAGUAAGAAAGCAAAUGAGGCGUUUGCUGGGAUGAAAGCAGAGAUAAAGUCGAGAAAAACACGUGUCGGUUUUCCACAUUAGCAACGGAGCUGUGGACGCUACGUACCGAUAAACGUCUGACACUUGAAACACUCUUCCAGCCAGUCUGGCGUCACGAUGUGCUUCACCACGGAGAUGGCCGUCAGGAACUUCACCGUGCGCGUCACUUUGCUGGCGAUGAGGUGUGUGCAUUUCUGCGCAGACUCGGCGACCUCGCCCCCAAGGAUGUAGAGCUUCUGGAGGGAGGGGCACAGAGCGGAGGUGAGCGCAGGGCCGCACCUGAGCACGGCACACUGCGCUGGCCUGAGAGCUGGGAGACGGCGAGCACAGCAACGCACGUGUACGUGUCCGGAGUCGACCCCGCGCCUUGAGCCAAAACCAGCGAUUCCCCGAGGGCCCCCGUAUCACACCCCACAGACACGAUGCCCGGAGAACGAGGCGGCGCGUUUCAUGAAAAGGCGCGAACGUGCCCGGACUUUCUAAGCUGAAAUGGGUGUUGAUGAGGCACAUUAACAGACAGACCCUGUUCAUAAAAAUUAGAGAAGUGACUGAGAAGACGUGAACAUCCAGGAAAGAGCUCAGUAACUAGGCUCAAUUUUAAAAGUGAAAAAAAUUGAUACGGCACUUAGGACGGUUUCUUCCCCUUCAAAACCUGAGCGGUGCGAUGAACGAAGCCCACGCGACAACAGGCCGACUUACACCCUCUUAACCGCCGCCCCCAAAACAACAGCCAAGCGAGAUGCCCCCUCCCUUGUGCUGUUACUUCCCACAGUACGCUUAAGGCUGCGUUCCCACUUCCUGUCCAAGCACAAGCACGCGGCCGCCCUGAUCCCCACCCAGGAGAACCGGCCUGCGGCUUCCCCGACACCGGGGGGGCUUCUGGGACGAGCACGUUCAAGCAGGUUGCUCGCGUUCACAGGACCAUAAAUGUGGGUCUCGUCUACUCACCCAAGUUACGUUUUCUACUAUUAAGAGAGCAAGGGUCUAAGUAUAAAACUAUAAAAACCACAGAACAAGGUGAAACAUCACUUACGAUUUAAUGGCUACUUUUACUGUAAAAACGACAACAACUGAUUUACAAGCCAAAAAGACUGUUGUAGCAGGACGUUCCUGAUUAAAUGUUCCUUUAACACACUGCUAGCCUAAAGCCAACGUGUACAAAACGGAACGGUGCUAAAACUCCUCCCAGAACGUAGAAUGGAAUUUCACCUUAAUAUACUGUUGAACUUGCACAGGCUCAAAUCCAGUGAAAAGCACAAAAGGGGUCAAUUCUGGUGUUAACUUUUUGGUGGGAGGGGGUAAAUCUUCAAUUCUGUGAAAGAAAAUAAAAAUGCUGUUUAGCAAAC